rnacentral:rRNA from 1 species
GGGGAAUAACAGUUGGAAACGAUUGCUAAUGCCCCAUAAGCUCAGGGAUGAGCUCGCGCCUGAUUAGCUAGUUGGUAAGAUAAAAGCUUACCAAGGCAACGAUCAGUAGCUGGUUUGAGAGGACGAUCAGCCACACUGGGACUGAGACACGGCCCAGACUUCUACGGGAGGCAGCAGUGGGGAAUUUUCCGCAAUGGGCGAAAGCCUGACGGAGCAAUACCGCGUGAGGGAAGAAUGCCCGUGGGUUGUAAACUUCUUUUCUUAGGGAAGAAGCUCUGACGGUACCUAAAGAAUAAGCAUCGGCUAACUCCGUGCCAGCAGCCGCGGUAAUACGGAGGAUGCAAGCGUUAUCCGGAAUCACUGGGCGUAAAGCGUCUGUAGGUGGCUUAUAAAGUCCGCUGUUAAAUCUUAGGGCUCAACCCUAAGCCAGCAGUAGAAACUUCUAGGCUAGAGUAUGGUAGGGGCAGAGGGAAUUCCCAGUGUAGCGGUGAAAUGCGUAGAUAUUGGGAAGAACACCAGAGGCGAAAGCGCUCUGCUAGGCCAUUACUGACACUAAGAGACGAAAGCUAGG